rnacentral:tRNA from 1 species
GAGGGUUUAGCUCAAGCUGUAGAGUGCAUGCUUAGCAAGCAUGAGGUCCUGGGUUCAAUCCCUACUACCUCU